GGGAAAAACAGGGAUUUCUAUGAAAAUAAGCGAUAUUUUAGGGGAAAAACAGGGAUUUCUAUGAAAAUAAGCGAUAUUUUAGGUUAAAAACAGGGAUUUCUAUGAAAAUAAGUGAUAUUUUAGGUUAAAAACCGGGAUUUCUAUGAAAAUAAGCGAUAUUUCAGGGGAAAAACAGGGAUUUCUAUGAAAAUAAGUGAUAUUUUAGGGGAAAAACAGGGAUUUCUAUGAAAAUAAGCGAUAUUUUAGGGGAAAAACAGGGAUUUCUAUGAAAAUAAGCGAUAUUUAAGGUUAAAAACAGGGAUUUCUAUGAAAAUAAGCGAUAUUUCAGGGGAAAAACAGGGAUUUCUAUGAAAAUAAGCGAUAUUUAAGGUUAAAAACAGGGAUUUCUAUGAAAAUAAGCGAUAUUUCAGGGGAAAAACAGGGAUUUCUAUGAAAAUAAGCGAUAUUUAAGGUUAAAAACAGGGAUUUCUAUGAAAAUAAGCGAUAUUUCAGGGGAAAAACA